UCACCUAUCUCCCCCCUUCCCCUCUAUUUGUUUCAUAUCUACAUGUCUUCAGCCAUAUAGCACAAUUUGUUGAUUAGGUAAAAGUGAAAAUGUUAUCCCAAGGCUUUAAUUAUCAACGUGGCAUUAUUUUGAAAUGAGAUUUUAAAAGAUGAGCUACCUAUUUUUUUCCUAGCCAUAAAAUGAAGCAGGUUGAAAAAUAACAAAUAAUACCCAGGCAGUAUAAUUAUAAAACUAAGUCAAAUUACUUUGAACACAAUGUGUCAUCUAAUUAGUAGCUUCGUGUAAAAAUAAAAUGUAUUGAAAGAACUGAAU